GACAUUCAACAAACCGACGAGACUGGAGAGUUAGAAGCAGGAAGCGUAUUGAAGCUGUGUAAUUGGAGAUCAGUCAUCAUAGAAGAGGCCCCCUCAGCACUGGGCCAGUGGCGCAAUGGAUAACGCGUCUGACUACGGAUCAGAAGAUUCUAGGUUCGACUCCUGGCUGGCUCGAAAUGUGCGUUCCUUUUUCUUCCUAUACUGUAUACGUUUUGAGUUGAGCGUUGCAAGGCCUGCUUGUAAAGGAUCGUAGCUAGUGUCAAGAUCAAAUAUGUUGCAUCUUAAUGUUGCUUUGCUCAAAAUAAUACCUUCUUAGCUGUAUUUGAAACCCGGAGUUAUCCAAAAUGGCUUGCAAAAUUUCUAGCGCCCCUGUUCUUAAAAUUACGCAGGAGUCUGUAUACCGCUAACACGAAAACAUUCUGAUUGAGAGUGGAGGUUUGCAAUCAGGGAUAUGCGUGGCCAAUGUCUUCCCACCUCACCGAAAGCUCCUAGCAGGUAGAACCCAGGCCGCACCGACAAGAGAAGGGCGUCGAUUCUGCUCUGCAAGACAGUUCCGCAGACCUGGGACCUCUACCGGCGGCCUUGGCUAGCUCCGCUUGCAAAGCCAACCUAGCCUCCAUUGCACAAGGAAACCUUAAAAAUUCGGGGAUUUCGCAGUAAGAGGCCCAGAAAAACGCAUGACUAUUCACUUUACGUAAGACCUGAGAGCCAGAAACAGAUGUGACGAAGGUGGGUGGGAGAGCGGGGCUCAGCUAUUCGUUAACCAGUCAUUCGAUGAUUAAGUUGCCCUAGAUAACAUACCCCACUCCCCGAGAGUUUAUUAAAACUGUAUCAAAUACAGGAAAUUAUUAGGGGCAGAAUCAGAGCAGGGGCCAAGGGGCGUGGCUCACUCUUGGAGUCCUGACUGCUGGAUAUAGAACAGGCCAGAUACCUGCCUCUGCUUUCCAGAGUGCUGGAAUUUAAGGUACAAGACAUCACACCAGGCUUCUACACUUCUGAGGUUUUAGUUUGCUGUUAAUGACGUUAUGGUGAGUUGUUUUUCCGAGACCGGGUUUCCCUGUGUAGCUUUGACUAUCAUGGAACUCGCUUUGUAGCCCAGGCUGGGCUCCAACUCAGAGAUCCCUGCCUCUGCCCCCUGAGUACUGGGAUAAAAUCAUGCACCACCACUGCCCGGCUAACAGUUAUUUUUUUGUUUGCUCUUCAAUUUUUUGUCUGAAAUUUAAGGUCAUUAAGUUGUUGCCAGUUUUAACGCUUAAAAAAAAAUGAGGGUUUAGUUUUUUGUUUAGUUUGUUUUGUUUUGAAGGGGGUGUGUGGUGUGUGUUUGUGACGAGCAGGGGUGGAGUGGGGAGGGGAAGAGAGAGAGAGAGAGACUGACAGACUGAGGCCUACUUAUAUAAGACAGGGGGCCUUUACUUGGCUAUGGAAAAUGGACUUGGGACUCUGAUUCAAGCUCCCAAGGUGUUGAGAUUAUAAGCCCCACCAACCACACCUGGUUUAAGAGUUCUUGUUUUAAGAUGUCCUAUUUGGGUGGAUAAGUGGACAUUUUAAAGGUCCAUCUCAUAGGCAUUUAGCUUUUGGUAUGUAUUUUCAAAUUGUUCUGUGGAAAAAUUAGAACAAUAUACCCUCUGUCACCAUAUGUUUCCACACAUGCUAAUCAACAUUAGACAUUUAUGUAUACAUAUAAAUUAGAUAUCCAAGUCUGAUGUGGUGGCAUAUACCUAAAAUUCUAGAAUUAGAGACAGAGAGGCAUUGAUCUAGGGACCCCAUCUAUAAAUAAAAUAAGGCAUCCACAUACGGCUCUACCGGGCUAGAAGUAUGAGAUCACCUUGGAACUGGGUACAGCCACCCAACAAGGCAGGUGCUUGUAACAGAAUGCAUGUCCUCUGCAAAAGCAUAGCAGCUCUUUGGUUAUUACAUAUUAGCCUUUCUGCCAGUGUAUUCUUUACCCUUUCCUUAUAAUAGAUUCUCACUCUUACAUUCCCAUUUUACAAUUAGUACAUAUGUGCUUUUUAAAGUUUAUAGUUGAGUUUUUUUUUUUACCUUAGUCUGCUUGUAUUUUAUCUUGUUGAUCACCCUGACGUAAUUAACAAUUCUUAAAACUUAUCAAACUGAUCGGUAACUUCAUGCUUCUCUAAGCACUUUAUUUAGACAAAUUUAACCAACCCACACAACUUCAUAAGGUAAAUUCAGUUGUUAUCCCAUUGUACACGGCAUUUGCUACUUUGUAGGUUUUCUCUCUUCCACCCUUCUCUACUCCUUUUCUUUCACCCUUUCAAUCCCCUAACACUAGAUAGGAGAAAAGGGGAUAAAGGGGAAAGGGGGUUAGACUACUUCCUGCUGAUUAGUGGUGUUCCGCUCCCUGGAGCAAGUUUGAUAUUUGCCAGCAGGAUGUCUAAUGUCAUUGAAGUGGAAACUUAAGGGUUCUUUGGAGAGUCAAUUGUGUUAGAUGGUGUUCUGUUGGAGAAACCUGUAAAAGAGUGUUUUUGGUUUUUUUGUGGGGGGGGUUGUCUUUUGUUUGUUUGUUUGUUUGUUUGUUUUGGAAGUGGACACAAGUCAAAGACUAAAGCAGACUCAAGAAAGAAUGAAUGUUUCACUAAAUCAGACACAGGAGAGAGGAUGUUCUGUUAAGGCAAACAUGUAGAAGGACUUGCAAUGAAAGAUUCUUUGUUAACCACACACACAUAUUGGUUGGUCUUACAUUGUGUAGUUGAGCUCCAUUUGUUGGGACUCUGUGGACUCGGGCUGACUGGAGGCACGUGAUGAGGCAAGACCUUUGCUGAGGCAAGGCACAUGGAGGACACACAAUGUUUGACGGGUGUAAAUAGGACAGAAUGACAGAGACAGCUUGGCUUGCAGGUACAGCUAGGUGUGUAAUGAAUGUGUGUCUCCUGUCUUCGCUGAUCUUUGCUUCUCUGAGAGGCACAGCCGAGAACUUCUCUUGGUGUUUUUGUUGGUCUCCCCUGUUGACUCUGAGGCCUAGAUGUCUCUGUUAGGUUGUAUCACCAUUGUUAACCUGAUUCUAUCGAACUAGACUACUGGUGUUAUCUAUAAAAUGUUCACGAGUGGAUCAAGUCGUCUUUGUCUGUUAACCUGUGAACUGAACUGUCGAUUUUCAGACAACACAGACAGGAGUUGCCCUAAAGAACCUUUCUAAAUAGGUCCAAUUUUUUUAUAUCUUUUUUUCCUACUAUCUCUGGUGGGUGGUGGGCUAUAAUGGAGGUUAAAAUCUUUAAAAGCCAUCAUUAAAAUUAAGAUUUUAAGAAAUUAAAGUUAUACUUAUUCUUGUUUCUUCUUUGCACCUGACUAUUUAACAAACCACAAACAACAGCAAACAACACCAUCCAACCACCAAAUAGCAACCUACACCACCUCUUGGGGCCCCCCAAAAAGUCCCCAGAAUUCCAAACAUCACACAACUGCAGAAGCGAUCUGCUGCUGUCAAAAUCAUGCCUCUGCGAGAGUACAAGACACACAGUCACCUGGGGUAAAGCAGCCCUAGAUCCCCACAUCUGGGAUUAAAACAAAAACAUAUACCCAUAAUAUUUCUGUGUCUUUUAAAAGAGCCAAAAUUACAAAGUUCCCACUCAGACCCCAUUUUUCCAGGAAAGGAAACUAAACUUGCUUAAGGUCGUGAGCUCUUAAUUUUAAAGCAGGCCAGAUAGGGGCUGAGUGAACUCCCAGAGGACCCCACAGUGGGAAGGAAGGUGGUCACAUGUGUUUUGGUAUGUCAGUUCAUUUCUAUCCCUGAUUAUCCUUCAGCUCACCAGCUCCCAGUUCAUUGGAUAGUUCCCCGCCGCCACCACACCCCUCUCUCUUUAUUUGAGUGUUCUGCUACAUAUACAUCUUCAGGCCAGAAGAGGGCACCAGAUCCCCUUAUAGAUGGUUGUGAGGCACCGGGCGGUUGCUGGGAAUUGACUUCUGAAAGAGCAGCCAGUGCUCUUAACUGCUGAGCCAUCUCUCCAACCCCAUCUCUUUUAAUAAAAUGGUAUUAAAUUGUAGCCUGCUUCAUAAGGCUUUCGUAAAAGAAUACUUCCAGUUGAUUAGCCACUGGCCUGCAGAGGGCUCCUUAGGCUCUCUAAACAGGUUAAAAACUCAGAAGUUUGGCCUUUCUACAUUAAUUGAGGCCUCUGUGAACAUCCAAUGAGAUUGAAAGAUGGAGAGUAAUUCAGACAGAAUUAGGAGUGUGUGUGUGCGUGUGUGUGUGUGUGUGUGUGUGUGUGUGUGUGUGCACAUGUACACAUAUGAACAUAGGCAUGUAAAGGUCAAAGAUCAAGCGAUUUUUCUCAGUUUCUGUCUGCCUCGUUUACAAGUGUGCACCACCAUUCCUAGUAUUUUCUAUAUGAAUUCUGGGGAUCAGACUCAGGUCUUCAUCUUAUAUCAAAGCACUUUACCAACUGAGCCAUCUCUCCAGCCCUCUUCUACGAUUUUUAAAGACCAAACUCAGGUUCUCAAAUAGGCAUGUUCAGAAAAGGAAAUACUUUAAAGGUGAGUAAAUACAAAUUCGCACCUUUAGCCUAAUUUCCUUGUAGUGCACCUGUGUGACUUAUGUGCACACAGCUUUUUGGAAAUUUUGCAUUCCCGGAGAGUCUAAUUUGCAGAUUACUAGCAUCGCUGCCGCCCAAUUUGCACUGCAGCAUCUGCCUGCUGAGCCCCUAGACUCGUGGACCUUCCGCUCUACGUGACAUACUAUGCCCUAGCCAUUUGUCUUUGAAACUUUCUCAACGGAUGAUACAUGUAUGUAACUUAGUGGUAACAGAUCCUUAGACUAUCUGGCACACUUGUGGGAAACCACAUUACCUGCUCUUCUCUAGUAAAUACCACAGAUCGAGCCCUUCUGAGUGAGACCUUCAGUAUAUGCUCCCUGACCUUUUUCAACACACGGUACAUGUGCCUACCCACUCAACUUCAGGAACCUCACUUUUAGCACUGCCUGAAGAAAUGUCAUCCCAUGGAUACUACUUCAUCUCUCCCCCAGCAACCCUCCCCCAAAGGAACUUGACUUAAUCCAAAGGAGGCUGAAGAAUGGUCCCUUCCAAAAUGUCCUAAUACCCAGGAUCUAUGAUUAUGUUAUUAUGCAAAGCAAAAGGAGAUUUCAGAUUAAGGAUCCAGAGAUAGGGAGAUUAUUCUAGAUUACAUGGACACACCCAAAUGUAAUCCCAAAAGUCAUUCAUUCACAAGGAGGAGGCUCAGAGUGGUACAACCCCAGCCACAAAUAUGAAAGCCCCAAGAGCCGGAAAAACUUGUUUGAACACUUGGUCCCCAGUAGGUGGCACUGUUUGGGCGGGAAGUUGUGGAACCAGUGGGGCUGUGAUCUAGCUAAUGGAAGUGGGUCCUUGGGGGCAGGCCUUGAAGGUUCUUCCCUAACACUGCUUUCUGGUGGCCAGGAUGCAAAGGGCUUCUGCCUUGUGCUUCUACUGCUACUGAGUCACUGAUCAUCACGCCUUCUCUAUGUCCCUUGAAACCAUGAACCCAAAGAAACCUCUCCUCCCUUAAGCUUCUCUUGCCAAGCUUUCUGUCACAGCAAUGAGAAAAGGGACACUGAAGGCAGAGCUUCUUCCCUAACCACUCUGAAAGGUAACCUAAGGUAGGAGAACUAUAAUACAUGUGGGUUGUACAGUAUUUUAUUUGAAUAGAAACCAAUACAAACCCCAACAGAGAGCAGUGACUAGGUCCUCCUCACAGCCUCAUGAUGAGGUUUUAUGGACAGGCCUUAAUGAACAAUACCAUAGAAGAUGACAAUCUCCAGCAGCAAGAGGGGUCAAGACCUCUCUCUGGAUGGCUGUCUGGAAUGGGCCUGGUCUUGUUCCUGCUGUUUACUGGCCACUCAUCUUGGACGGUUACUUCCCAUUCCAUGCCUUAGUUGUCUACAAGAAGAAUAAUAAAGAACAUAGGGUGUGCAGGAUAAGGCCUGAUGGAGAGACACAGUCACUGUCGCUACUGUUUCAAUCAUGGGGCUAAACGGUUUCUUCCACUGUCUUGGCUCCAAGGUGUUCAAAUGCCUGAAGGUGGUUGGAUUUGAUGAUGAUACCACUCCCCAUUCCAAGUUCCAGGGUGUCAUAAUGGUAGAGUGAUAUUGACAGUGGCAGAAGCGUUUAUGAGAUGGAAACCAGCAUACACUUCUGUGAUGGUUCCUAUAUGCUGGCCCAGGGAGUGGCACUAUUAGUGUGGCCUUGUGGAGUGGGUGUGUCACUGUGGGUGUGGGCGUUAAGACCCUCAUCCUAGCUUCCUGGAAGCCAGUCUUCCAUGAGCAGCCUUCAGAUGAAGAUGCAGGACUCUCAGCUCCUCCUGUACCAUGCCUGCCAUGUUCUUCCCUUGACGAUAAUAGACUGAACUCUGAACCCGGCUCAGUUCAGACAGAAGUUUCUGAUGGAACAUUCUGCACCCAGGAGGAAAGACAUCUCUUCCCCCCAUCCUCAUCAUACAUGUGAGUGACAGUGUAACCUUGAACCCCACACUACAUACAGUCCUCUGAGCUCUGUAACUUCAGGGUAGCAAUUCCAAGCAUCAGAACUUCUUCAGUUUGAAUUUGUAAUGCAUAGAACUUCCUAACAUGCAUCUGUUAUCACGCCCCCAGACAGACUUCAGAUUGAUCUUGGUGACCACUUCAGUUCCAUGACCCAGGAGGUCUUUGCAAGGUAGGCUUUAGGGCUGGGCAGGAAGGGACCUACCUCACAGUGGUAGCACUCUACAUGGUAGUCUCGGUCCAUGGACACAACUCUGAUGGUCUCAUCUGAGCCCUGGGACAAAUAAAAAAAAGCAAGACAUGCAAAGAGGCCAGUUGUAAGUUCAUGGAAUACUACUGACAAAGCAACGGGGUGGGAAGAGAUUGUAGGGUAAUAGUGGUCUUCCAAUGGGGACAUUUCUUUUAACUUAAUUGAAUUUGAUUGUUUACAUAAGUAUUUAUUAGUGAUUGCAUUGCACAAGCACACACUUGUGUGCACAUGCCUGUGAAGACCAGAAGUUUAUGUUUAGUGUCUUCUUCCUUCACUCUAUUUAAUUUACUGAGGCAGGGUUUCAGGGAUAUUUAUUUUUUUAAAGCCAAAGAAAAGACAAGUUUUCUGUCCCUCUGUUCAUUAAAAGAGUUUGGCCUGGCUAUCCAGACAAACAGGCACAAGAAACACCUGGGGUUAGGAAGCCAGCCAGGAGAAAGGGACAGUACUGGGCAUUGGAGGAGUAUGCUGAAAGGUCUAAGAACAGGUCAGAGAUCGUCUGAGUGACUCAAGGGAGACAGUCCAGUCUUUUGAAGACCUAUGAGCAGAACCAGAAAAGCAUCUUACCUCUGGUGGAAGAAUGGGAAGGCCACAGGCUGCACACUUGGGGGCCAGCACCCUGUAGGAGAAACAAAGGGAACACAGCGCACACUGUGUUGUAACCAGAGAAUAAACGGUAACCCGGACCUGCCAGGAAGCCCUCAUGGCCAGCACUCAGGUAAUAUGGAGCUAGGCUCACUCUUUGGAAUAGUAACACUCCUCCUGGCUGCUACAGGAGCAUCUGGCUGCCUCUUGCUCCCUUAGGAAUAAAGGGGAAGCUGGUUGUUUGCUUCCUGCACAGCUACCGGGGCUGGUCUGACAGAGUGGUAGGCUAAGCCUGACUUGGCGCCUGGUGAAGUUGGGUAAAGCUGGGGCUACAGGCUUGUUGAAUCCUCUGAUUACCAUUCUGUGUUCUGCUUUACCACCAAACACAUUUCAAACCAGUUUCUGCAUACUUUCCAUUCUGCUGAGCUCAGUGGGCCUGUGUACAGGUUACCAUCUACUCCCUUCCUCUCCCCUUACUUGUGAUAAUCUCGGACACAGUAGAUCUUGUUCUCAGAGUCCACGGUGAAAGGAACCCCAUCUAGACACUCAUUGCAGAUGACGCAGCGGAAACAGCCAGGGUGAUAGGACUUCCCUAGGGCCUGUAGGAUCUGAAGACACAAAGGAAACAACUCAGAGAUGAAAGGAAGGAAGAGAGACAUGGAGAAAGAGGAACACGUUGAUUAAGGAGCCCAAUGCACAGCUGUACCAUAGCACAGACUCCACCUAGCCCACAGCUUGCCCUGGACAAAGGCUAAGAGGGGGCUGGCCUGCUUGACAGAAGAGGAUCAAAGAGGAACCUAUGCAGACUCUCAGUGCUGACUGGAGGAAAUAAGAGACUCCUGUCUGAUUCCUCCCUCAUAGCAGGGAACUUGUUCUUUCCUAAGAAGCAAUGCUAGGUAGGGCUAAGCCUGUCCUGGGACCCGAACAUUGGGAAACAGCAAUAAACCAGUUAAAGCUGGUCAUAAAAGAAUCCACCCCUGCUAUGGAAUGCAGUAAGUAUAUGGAAAAAUGAAAGAAAAUUCCAGGGUUGGAGAGAUGGCUCAGAGGUUAAGAGCACUGACUGCUCUCCCACAGGUCAAUUCCCAAUAACCACUUGAUGGCUGGAGACCAUCUGUAAUGGGAUCUGAUGCCACGUUCUGGUGUGUCUGAAGACAGCUACAGUGUACUCACAUAUAUAAAAUAAAUAAGUAAUUUAAUUUUUAAAAGAAGAAAGAAAAUUCCAGAUGGAGCUAGGAGAACUUGGACAAAGCCUCCACAUUGACUCGAGGUACCCUUCCAUGCAGCUUAAAUUCUGCAGUGUGACAACCUAGAGGCUGGCUGGAGCCCUGAUCAAUCAAAUCCAAGCGUGACAGACGAAGUCCCUUUGUUGUCCUUCUUUUUAAAAACACAACUCAGGAAAAGCCCCAAAGGCCUCCUUUCUCUCAGUGUCAUUUGAUUUGGAUGUGAUAACUUGAACCACCAUCCAAAACAGAAACAACCAAGACACAGAGGAAAGAGAGGAGGCAAACAGAAAUGAAGAGAUAGGAGAGGGGGAAGGGAGGAGAGGGGAGGGGAGGGGUAGGGAGCAAGCGGAAAGGGGAAGGGAGAGGGAAGGUACUGAGAGAAAGGACAGGAGGGAAGAAGAGAAGGGAUUGAGAGGAGAGGAAGGAGGGGAGGAGAGGGGAAAGGAGGGGGGAGGAGAGAGGAAAGGAGGGGGGAGGAGAGGGGAGAAGAAAGGGAGGGAGGGGAAGAGAAAGAAAAAAUAGAAGAAAGGAAGGAGGGAGACAGGAAGGAAAGCAAAUCCUUGGUGAGGUCAUUGUCAGUAACAGAACUCACUGGGAAUGGCUGUAAAGUCCUAUUCUCAAAGUGUGAUCCCUGAAUGUGCAACCUUAGCACUACCUGAGAGCUUGGUAAGAAGUGAGCGUUCUCAGACCCCACCCCAGACCUCCUCAUCCAGAAUCACCAGGCGUAAUGUCUAGCGCCUGUUGUUUUAGGAUGACCCGAUGCAUGCUAUUAGAGUCGAGAGAUUUCUGUAAUUUGUAGCUAAAAGCAUAUUUGGUAAUUCAGUGGGAGAUUUACCUCUGCAAUUACCUGGGCCAUGAAACAGCAAAAAUAACAGAACUAUGACAUCACCAUGUACAGGAGUACCCAAUACCAGACUGCAGGGAACACACAGAGCAGUCAUCAACAGCUGGUAUUAAGCCAUGCAGAAAGCCUUCAAACAGGCCUAAGGAGGGGGACCUGAAACUUAGGCAAGUUCUGCAGGACACUGUAAGACUGGAAGAGAUGUGCUACAACCCAGGUCCUUCCACUGGACGUCUGACUAGAUAACUGGUACCACACAUCCCAGCCAGGGAUCACAGGAGAACUAGUCUGCUAUCCCACCUUGGAUCUCAGACUUCCUCAUUACCCACUGGGCUUUACUACCCCUAAAACCCCUUUGGCAAAGGGCCAAAGAAGAGGAACAACUGCAGGGCUUCCAAAAGUCCACUUGGUAACUGGAAUGCACUUCCUCUCAAAGGCAAAUCCUUAGAUUAGCUUAAUUCUCACUGCCUUCAGUCAAAUGAAAAGAAGAUGCACUUUGCUACAUCCUGGCUAGCUUCUAACAUUCUGGCAUUGAGGAACAGGAUCUAUUUCAGAACAUACCCCUUUACUAACACGGUGUUUUCAGACAGUUUAUACAGAGUUGGAUGGCUGGGGAUCUGCUACAGAGCUAAGUGGUGUCUGCAAGAGUCUUUCUGGGGCAAGAGAGAUGGUGCAUCAGUUAAGACAAGGGCUGGUUCGGUUUCCAGCACUGGCAUCUGGUGACUCACUAUCUACCUGUAACUCCAGCUCCAGGGGUUCUGAUACCCUCUAGCCUCUGUGGUCACUCACAUACAUGUACACAUACUAACACAGAGAUACACAUAAGUUUAAGAAGUAAAAAAAAAUUUUAAAUGUCUUUUUAAAGGACUCUGUAUUGGAAUUUUUGGCAGCAGAUGAGAGUUCUGUCUUAAAGCUAGGAGUCACUCUUAGACAGGUAGAGGGGUAUGGCUCUUGCCUGUCUACACACACACACACACACACACACACACACACACACACACACACACAAACACACACACACUCUUCAGUGUGGUAGUCUGAAUGAGAAUGGGUCCCAUAGGCACAUAUAUGAAUGCUUGAUCCCUAGUGGUGGAACUAUUUAGAAGGAUUAGAUGUGGUCUUUGAGGAUUCAAAAGCUCAGGUCAUUCCCAGUUAGCUCUCUCUGCCUCCUACUUUUGAACAAGGAUGUAAAUCUUAGUUACUGCUCCAGUACCAUGCCUGCCUGCCAUGUUCCUUGCUAAGAUAAUCAUGAAUUCACCCUCUGGUGAGCCAUAGUAAACUGUUUCUUCUAUAAGCUUGCUUAGUAAUGGUAUCUAUUCACAACAAUAGAAUUAAUUAAUUAGCUAAUUAAUUAAUUAAGACACUCAGGGAAGCUUUGGCUAGUAAUGAGGCUACAGCUGUUCCAGGGCUAAGCUCUGUUGUAUACAAGGCCUAAAUGGUAGCAGGGACUCCACAUAAACAGGGAGAGUUCUGUUCACAGUUGCUUUAUAAAUGUUAGUGUAUAACCAGGAAGAAAGCACAUUUAUCAAAGACAUGUACAAGGGCUGAGAAUGUAGCUCAGUUGGUAGAGUGCUUGCCUAGCAUCCAGAGGCCCAAAGUUCAACACCCAGUACCAGGCCAGGCAUGAUGGAACCUGCCUUUAAUCUCAGGACUCAGAGGCAGGUGUAUCUCUCUAAGUCUGAGGUCAUCUUGGUCCACAUAGCAAAGAAUUAAACAUUCUUCAAUUUCAAAAAAUUAAAACAGGGCUGGAGAGAUGACUCAGUGGUAAGAGCACUGCUCUUCCAGAGGUCCUGAGUUCAAAUCCCAGCAACCACGUGGUAGCUCACAACCAUCUGUAAUAAGAUCUGAUGCCCUCUUUUAGUGUGUCUGAAGACAGCUACAGUGUACUUAUAUAUAAUAAAUAAAUAUUUAAAAAAUUAAAUAUAUAUAUAUAUAUAUAUAUAAACAUACCAAGCAACAUGUAACCAGUGGUGAUGAGUAUCUGUAGUCCUAGCCUUCAGAGGUAAAGGCAGGAAAACCAUAAGUUUAAGGUAAUUUCAGUCAUUUGGCAAGUUUGAGAUCAGCCUGGGCUACAUGAGACCACCUCAAAACAAAGCAAAAGAAAGGGAAAAACAAAAACCACAUGCACAAGAAUACUCUGAAAUAGCAGAAGCUCUGUGCAUAAGUAGUUCAAAAAUGGCAAACACUCUAAUUCAUAUACUAUACAACAAAAUCUACUAUGAAAUCUACUUAGAAACAAAAACAAUGGAACUACUUAUAGUGAACAAAGCAUGUAAAUCAUAUAAUGACAGUUUCUUUUCUUCUUUUUCUUUCUUUGGUUUUUAUUUGUUGUUUGCUUGUGUGAGACAGGUUUCUCUGUGUAGCCUGGCUAUAGUAGAAUUCACUGUGUAGACCAGGCUGGCUUUGAAUUCAGAGAUUUACCUGCUUCUGCCUCCCAAGUGCUGGUAUUAAAGGCGUGCACCACCCCCGCCCAGCUCAUAUUUUUAAGUGAGGAAAGGAGUAUCUUAAGAGUCUAGGUUCUACAAUUCCACUUGUGUGAUGUUCUGAAACCAGCAAACAAAGGGUAGCAAUGGAGCCUGGAGCUGCUAUGGCCUCUGUGAGAAAGGAUCUCAGAGGAGGAAACAAAGGGACUUUCUGGGCUUCAACAAUGUCUUACAUUUUAAGUUGGAAUGUGAUUACAUGGGUAGGUGCACAAGGAAAACUUCACUCAUCAGUAGGACUUGUGCCUUUUAUUCUGAGUUAUUUCUUAACAAAAAGAUGAAAGAAAAUAAUAAAAAUGAUCAUGAUUGGUAGUUCCCCUCUCCAGAAUGAGAUCACUGCAUUAACACAAAAUGGAAUGAAUGUUUCCAGCUCACUAACCAUUUACCAUGAUUGACAUAUUAAGGACUGUUUUCUUUUUGCUGCCACUGGAUUGAACUCAGAGCCUUCAGCAUGCUCUGCAAGCAAUGGGCCACUGUGUUUCUUCCCAGCCCAAGAAAGGAGCUUCUAUAAGCUGCUGAACUCCUCAGAGGAACCCUCCAUUCACUCAGGCCCAGAUCUUUGGAUUAACUUUUCCUGCCCCUUCAGACGUUCUUUAAGUGAAGAUGAGCUCAGUGAAUGAAACAAAACUCAUCUAACAGGAAGUGGCUCCUAGGAAACAACACAAGGACCCAGCCUCUGAGAAACCCAGCUAUGAGGACCAUUCUUUGUUCCUCCCAGUAUUAAGGAUAGAGCACAUACAUGCUAGGCAAGCAUGUUGACAGAGUUAUGCUCCUAACUCUUACAUUCUGACACUGAGCUCUACCCCUUGCUCUUACAUUUCUGUUUCUGGUUUUUCACUUUACCAGUUUCCAAUUGUAAACAAUUUGUUGACCUCAGCACCGAUUCCACAGAGAACAUUAUUCUCACUUAUGAAACAAAAAUUGAGACUCAGACAACCUAGAAGAACCAGUGGCCUAGCAUAAAAUGGGAUAGGAAAGCCUAGGCCCUGUCCGUAUGAAUGCCAGGUGCUUUCUUAGGGACAACUUGUGCUGGAAGAAAAAAACCAACCACAUUCAUCUGACUGUACCUGACUCCCAAGUGACUGAGACCUCUGCAAGUAAAAUAGGCUGCCCCUAGCACCUCAUCGGGAAAGCCAAUGAUCACAGAGAAACCAGAUGUAGGCCAGUGUGAGCUGAAUCACGGCUGUGUGCAUGGUUAAAAUCGCAUUGGUCCAAGCCAACAAAAGCGUCUAUUAGAGAGGAACUGGCUGCACCAGGAAAGGACUUCUUUAAAUAAAACCAGCAGUGACCAGAACCAGAAAGAGAACAUUGUGUUCAAUUAUUAACGUCUUUCUAGCCUCCUUCCCAGGGCUCGCUCACCAGUGCUCACUUACCAUGUCCAUAAUCAGGUGUCCACAAAGAAAACAUCUGUCCGCAGACUGCUGAAAGCCAGAGUAC